rnacentral:rRNA from 1 species
UACGUAGGCAGCGAGCGUUGUUCGGAGUUACUGGGCGUAAAGGGUGCGUAGGCGGUUGUUUUAAGUUUGGUGUGAAAUCUCCCGCUCAACUGGGAGGGUGCGCCGAAUACUGAAUGACUAGAGUGCGGGGAGAGGAUAGUGGAAUUCCUGGUGUAGCGGUGAAAUGCGUAGAUAUCAGGAGGAACACCGGUGGUGUAGACGGCUAUCUGGACCGUAACUGACGCUGAGGCACGAAAGCGUGGGUAGCAAACAGG